GAGGGGGUGCAAGCGUUAAUCGGAAUUACUGGGCGUAAAGCGUACGCAGGCGGGUUUGUUAAGCGAGAUGUGAAAGCCCCGGGGCUCAACCUGGGAACUGCAUUUCGAACUGGCAGACUAGAGUAUGAUAGAGGGUGGUAGAAUUUCAGGUGUAGCGGUGAAAUGCGUAGAGAUCUGAAGGAAUACCGAUGGCGAAGGCAGCCACCUGGGUCAAUACUGACGCUCAUGUACGAAAGCGUGGGGAGCAAACGGGAUUAGAUACCCCGGUAGUCCACGCCGUAAACGAUGUCUACUAGCAGCUCGGGUCUUCGGACUUGUUUUGCAAAGCUAACGCAUUAAGUAGACCGCCUGGGGAGUACGGCCGCAAGGUUA
rnacentral:rRNA from 1 species